GGGCCUGUAGCUCAGUUGGCCAGAGCGCCCGCCUUGCACGCGGGAGGCCAGGGGUUCGAAUCCCCUCGGGUCCA
rfam:Candidatus Roizmanbacteria bacterium RIFCSPLOWO2_01_FTLL_42_14 rifcsplowo2_01_scaffold_11676, whole genome shotgun sequence.